rnacentral:rRNA from 1 species
UAGGGAAUCUUCCACAAUGGGCGAAAGCCUGAUGGAGCAACGCCGCGUGUGUGAUGAAGGGUUUCGGCUCGUAAAACACUGUUGUAAGAGAAGAAUGACAUUGAGAGUAACUGUUCAAUGUGUGACGGUAUCUUACCAGAAAGGAACGGCUAAGUACGUUCCAG